GAGUUUGAUCAUGGCUCAGAUUGAACGCUGGCGGCAUGGCUAAAACAUGCAAGUCGAACGAGAACCUCGCAAGAGGGGACAGUGGCGGAGGGGUCAGUAAUGGGAUCGAAUGUACCCCGAGGUGGAGGAUAGCGUCGGGAAACUGACGGUAAUACUCCAUGUCCUCUACGGAGAAAAGAUUUAUCGCCUUGGGAGCAGCGAUCCUCCUAUCAGGUAGUUGGCGGGGUAAAAGCCCACCAAGCCGAAGACGGGUAGCGGGUGUGAGAGCACGGCCCGCGACAUCGAGACUGAGACACUGCUCGGACUCCUACGGGAGGCUGCAGUAACGAAUAUUCCGCAAUGCGCGAAAGCGUGACGGAGCAAUGCCGCGUGCAGGAUGAAGCGGUUUUGCCGUGUAAACUGCUGUCAGGGAUAAGAAAUACUGAUCUAUCCCAGAGGAAGGGGCGACUAACUCUGUGCCAGCAGCCGCCGUAAC
rnacentral:rRNA from 1 species